rnacentral:rRNA from 1 species
GACAGAGGGUGCAAACGUUGUUCGGAAUUACUGGGCGUAAAGCGUGUGUAGGCUGCCAUGCAAGUCGGAUGUGAAAGCCCUGGGCUCAACCCAGGAAGUGCACUCGAAACUGCGUGGCUUGAGUACUGGAGAGGUUGGUGGAAUUCUCGGUGUAGAGGUGAAAUUCGUAGAUAUCGAGAGGAACACCGGUGGCGAAGGCGGCCAACUGGACAGAUACUGACGCUGAGACACGAAAGCGUGGGGAGCAAACAGG